GCAGGGGUAGCCAAGUGGUUAGGCGGCGGAUUGCAGAUCCGUUAACGCGCGUUCAAAUCGCGCCCCCUGCU
rnacentral:tRNA from 1 species